UUUUGCAUGCCUUAUGCAACAUAUAUUCACUAACUAAACUUUUCUCUGAUGCAGAAAAUAAAAAAAGACGAGGUGGCAUCUGUAGAGGAAACGCUCAAAACAACCACAGAGACCUUUGCUGCAGAGUCUGCAGUCUGGAAACAAGAGAUCGCCAAUCUGAAGGCAAAUCUAACAUUACCCAGUCCAAUAUGUGACUAUGUGAAGACGAAAAAAGAAGUUAUGAAAUUGUGUGCCACACAGGCAGCUUCAAACUGAAGAGGAGUGCAGCAGAUAGCCUAAGACUAUAACCCAAAACAGAUUUUUAUGCUUGCAUCAGUGUUGCCCCGUGAUGGACUGGUGAUCCAUCCAGGUGAUACCCCGAAUAUCGCCCUAUGACUGCUUAAUAAAGGCAUCAGCUCACCUGCAACCUUGCACAGAAAAGCAGGGUUAGACGAUGAAAGGGUGGACGGAUGGAUGCGCUAACGGCUGUUGUUACAUAAAGUUUUUCAAAACUUA